rnacentral:rRNA from 1 species
UACAUAGGGUGCAAACGUUGCUCGGAAUCAUUGGGCGUAAAGCGCACGUAGGCGGUCUGUUAUGUCGGAUGUGAAAGCCCUUGGCUCAACUGAGGAAGUGCAUCCGAAACUGGCAGGCUAGAGUACUAAAGAGGGUCGCGGAAUUCCCGGUGUAGAGGUGAAAUUCGUAGAUAUCGGGAGGAACACCGGUGGCGAAGGCGGCGGCCUGGGUAGAUACUGACGCUGAGGUGCGAAAGCGUGGGGAGCAAACAGG